rfam:Rhodococcus sp. MEB064 contig_38, whole genome shotgun sequence.
GUGUGUUCAGCUCGACCCCCCGGAGCUGAACGCCGACGACCCCCGCCUCCUCCCCCCCUGGCGGGGGUCGUCCUCG